rnacentral:rRNA from 1 species
AUGAGGUGGAGCACCGCCGCCGCGCUAGAUCUGACGCCACGUGCAAGUGGGGGGGGGGCACGUCGGUGGCUCAACCAGGGUGCCCGGCCGCCGCCGGCAUUCGACCGACACGAGCUCGAGCGCACCCAUCGCCGCCGCGCCUCCUCCGACAACUGGUCCGCGGGGAGCUCAUCCGGCCAUGGGUCCGCGGGGUGCUCAUCCGCGGGUGCACCAAGCUCGCGGCUCGUUCCGGUGAAGAGGGAGCCAGAGGAGGCCGUGCCCGAUGCGCCGCCGUGCCGAGGCGUCAUCGAACCCGAGGACUACCUCCCACCGGGGCAGGAGGAGCUCCUCGAGCGCGUCGUCCUCGAGCGGUCGGCGAGGGAUCAUGAGGAGAUGGAAGAGUGCAUCCGGCGUGAGCUCGAGUACGAGCGGCUCUUCCUCGAGACGGGCCUUACGGCAUCGCAGGCGCACACAUCGAAGGAGGCCGACCUGCGUGUGAUGAAGGAGGAGUGGGCGAAGCUCUUCGUCGACCUCGACUCCGACUCCUCCGACUGCGACUGA